rnacentral:rRNA from 1 species
UACGGAGGGUGCAAGCGUUACUCGGAAUUACUGGGCGUAAAGCGCGUGUAGGUGGUCUUAUAAGUCUGGUGUGAAAUCCCGGGGCUCAACCCCGGAAGUGCAUUGGAUACUGUAAGACUGGAGUGCAGGAGAGGAUGGCGGAAUUCCAGGUGUAGAGGUGAAAUUCGUAGAUAUCUGGAGGAACAUCGGAGGCGAAGGCGGCCAUCUGGACUGCAACUGACACUGAGACGCGAAAGCGUGGGGAGCAAACAGG